rnacentral:rRNA from 1 species
GUAACGCCUGCCCAGUGAGUCUUACUUAAACGGCCGCGACUAAACGUGCAAAGGUAGCGCAAUCACUUGUUCCGUAAAUAGGGACCUGUAUGAACGGCCACAUGAGAAAGAAACUGUCUCUUGAAGAUAGCCAAUGAAACUGAUCUGCUUGUUAAAAAGCAAGCCUAAUUAAGCUAGACAAAAAGACCCUGUGAAACUUAAAGCUAAGCAUUAAACAAACUAAUGCCUAACUUUUAGUUGGGGCAACUUAAGAUACACUAAACAUCUUAAACAUUCUAAACCAACAAGUUAAAACUCUCUAAACAAAAGAUCCGGCAAAGCCGAUCAACGAACCAAGCUACUCCAGGGAUAACAGCGCCAAAUUCUUUGAGAGUCCACAUCAACAAGAAUUAUUACGACCUCGAUGUUGGAUCAGGAUAUCCAAACAGCGCAGAAGCUGUUAACGGCUCGUUUGUUCAACGACUAA